AAAGGUUCUGAAAUGAUGAUAAUGGUUCUAUAUAGAACCAUAGCUUACUGAAGAACCAUUAUUUUGCUAAAAUGGUUCUUUGUCUUGGCAAAAGGGUUCUUUAAUUCCCGCCUUUCUUGAUUUUAAAUUUAGUCAGUUAUUUUCAAGCUGCCUCCUGAUUAUUUUCACCUGUAAAAGCUCUGAAUCAUCAGUCCUGCUGAACUGCCUGCAGACUAACAUCCCAAACAGGUAAGAUAGGAAAAUAAUCAUCAUUUACUGUUAAAAACAUUUUGAAAAUUGAAGUUUUGUGUGUUCUUAUUGUAAUUUAUUUAUUUUAUAACAGGUAAACUUUAUACUGUAAGCUUCAUUCCCUUUAAAGCAGGUAAUCUUCAUAUUGUUUUAAAUGACAGGAGACUCUGCUGUAACAAUGACUUAAUGAUUUGUUAAAGUGUUAUAAAGCAUAUACAUGUAUAUUUUACAUUAAGUUUAUUAAACUAAUUAUGAAAAGAAUGUGGUACAACAUGUGUUUAGUUUUUUUACUGAUAUUUCAGAGUUUUUGUAUGUGAGGUAAUCUUACUGGGAGUGAAGGCAGUGCGUAUGACCGCUUGAUAGACACAUCCUGUAUUUAAAGGUCAACUUUAUACUGUAAGCUUCAUUCCAUUUAUAACAGAGUUUUUAUAUGUGAGGUAAUCUUGCUGGGAGUGAAGGCAGUGCGUAUGACCACUUGAUAUGAGAGACACAUCCUGUUUUUAAAGGUCAAGAUACUGUAAGCUUCAUUCCCUUUAAAGCAGAGUUUUCGUAUGUGAGGUAAUCUUGCUGGGAGUGAAGGCAGUGCGUAUGACCGCUUGAUAUGAAAGACACAUCCUGUUUUUAAAGGUGGAUCAUGAGUGAAGCUCUGCAGGUCUGCCAUUUCCCUUUCUUAUCUUACUCUUAUCUGACUAAAUGUUCAGCAUCAUUGCAACAAAACAAAGAACAUUGGAUGGAGUAUUGGAGUAUUGGAUGAUCCCGUAAAGAAAAUAAUAUGGACUUUUUUGGUGAGAUUCUACAAAGAUUGACACAAUCCUAUUGACUUUUAUUUUUACAGUUAAUAAUGCAUUAUAAACAUCCCAUUCAUUUGUAUUCUAUGUCAUCGAUCUGUUUGUGCUAAAAUGUAUACAUCUGAAUGUAAUGUCAAUAAUAUGUUAAUAUUCAGGAUUUAUUAUCAUUUGCAUGUUUUGAUGUUGCAUGUCAUGAUUUUAUUGAUUUCAUGUAAUUGUUGUCUAUUUAAAAUGAUUUUAAUUGCCAAAUUUUAUUGUUAAUUUAUUUAAUAUUGAAGCUGUUAUUUAACAUCCAUAUCUUAUUUGAGUAGUGAUUUGUU